rnacentral:lncRNA from 1 species
AGAUUCAGGGGGCUUUGCUCUGCAGAUGAUGAACAAUGGAAUCAAACAUUUAAGCUGUGAAUAAAUAAUUACUCAUUUCUCUGAUCUUUUGCGGCAAGACACCAACACCUGUCUUUAUUUUAAUUCAUUUCCCAGUGUGUUGUGGCGAGGAUGAAAUAGUGUAUCCUAGGAUGCCAGGGGAAUCCACCGUCUGCCACCGCGAGCGUGAGAAGCCAAUCACCUAUCACUGGUAUCACUGGCAUCCCGGCCAUAUAUACCCUAGAGUUGCAUCAAUGGAAGGUGUUGUGGAAAUUCAGUCAUUCAGUUCAUUCAUGAUAUGAUUUCUAGAUUCUUCAGUGUCUCAUAUUUCAGACAAUUAUAAAAUUGCGAUGCUAUAUUCUUUAUUUCAUGUGUGCAUAUUUAAAUGUGUUAAGUCAAUCACUAGUGCUACAACCAGAGGAGUAAAGGUGUAUUUCCAUUCCAGAUUUGGGUUUACUUUUAAUAGUAAAUAACAUCUCAGUGCAAAUUGUAGACAUUUUGCUGAUUGUUAAAACAUUAAUUAAAAAGGAUCUUUUUCUGAGACAGUGUUGCCAGGUUUGUAAAGUAAUGGACAUCACUUCAAACUGUUUGGAAGUAACCGAAAAAUGGAGGAAGUGGCAACAAAACUUUCCAUAUACCCACCUUCCUCAGUAUUUUUUGGUGAUCCCAUCUUUGUGAGUGUGAUAACGCUCGUAACAAUGACUGAGCCAAUAGUGAUACAUUCUUAUGAACAGAAGUCCAAGGUUAGCAUCAGUGACUGAGCCAAUAGUGAUACAUUCUUAUGAACAGAAAUCUAGGGUUAGCAUCAAGGUUCACUCUGUGUUGUCCAGCCUAUGGGUUUUGACAAACUGACAAUGUCUUUUGUCACCCUGACGGAAUAAUUUCACAUCCUACACAUGACCUGAGCUGCAUCUACUAAUUCCUCUCCUUUUCUGAGGAUUCCUGACAACUAUGGAUGAUUUUACUGCCUCUAUAGGUUUCCUUUUCCAGAAUUGUAUAGAGUUGGAAUCAUAGAGUAUGUAGCUACGUAUAACUAACUUAUUUUACUUAGCAAUAUACAUGUAAGAUCUUUUGUAUCGUUUUGAAGCUUAACAGCUUAAUAAUUCUUAUCAGUGAACAAUAGUCCAUUGGUUUCAUCGAACAGGGUUAGUUGGUUCACUCACUGCCUGAAGACCAUCUGAGCUGCUUCCAAUUUGGGUAAUUAUGAAUAAAGCUGCCCACAUUCUUGUGCAGAUUUUAAGAUGAACAUAAUUUUCUAAUUUAGCUGGGUAAAUAUGUAGAAUUUUGAUCACUUGCUGGUAAGACUAUGUUUUCCAUUGUGUUAGGCAGAAUUCACCAGUACAAUUAUGUGGGCAUUUUUUUUUAAGUUAUUACUUCCUGAUUAAAUUCUAUAAUGAUAGAGGCCUACUCAGAUUAUCUAUCUCUCCUUUGGGUGGUUAUGGUAGUUUCUCCCUUUGAAGGCAUUUGUCCAUUUCAUCUAAGCUAGGAAAUUUGUGGGUGUAGACACUUGAAUCUGACAAGUUGCCUGCUUGGUUCUCAUCAAAGGCUACUGUGCUUCCUGUCAUUCCUACUCUCAAACUUUUCAAUAGACUUUCACUCCUGCACUUAAAAAAUUGCAGGCAUAGAUUUGUUGAAAGUAUUCUGUUAUUAUUUUCUUAAUGAUUAUGGGAUCAGCAAGGAUAAUUCCUCUUCUAUUCAUAUUGUUUGUACAUCGUGUCUUCUGUAUUUUCUUUGUGAUUAGCCUUGCUGGAGGUUUACCAAUUCUAUUGAUCUUUUCUAAGAAGCAGCUUUUGGUUUUGUUGAGUUUCUUUAUUUUAUUAUUUCUAUUACAUUGAUUUCUGCAAAUAUUGUUAUAUUUUGGGGGAGGAGUGUUGCCUGGUUUACAUUACACUACACUUUUUUCUCUAGUUUCCUAAGGUGGAAAGUAAGACAUCUGGAUUUGGAUUACAUUUAGUUUACUGCACAGAAUUGUGAAUGGCACUGAUGCCCCUGAAGUGUGCACUUGAUUAUUAAAAUAAUAAAUAUGAUGUAUUUUGGCCACAAUACUGAUUUUAAAGCCAAUUAAAUGGAUGAUAAGUACAGGAGGAGCAUAUGUAGAUCAAGGAAAGAUAAAUGACAUUAUAACAUUUCAACAACAAAAGAAAUUUACCGGGCCUCAAAAUGCACAAGGGGGUGAUGGGACACUGUCAUGAAAUCAGCAGUGCAUUUGUGUGCCACCCUGUGUGAACUCUGCCUUUUUUGCAGUGGUGUGGGGGCUUAGCCAGAGAACCAGGUCCUGACUUCUGUGGCUUCCUGAUGGUCUCAUUUGCCUUCCCUCAUCACCCAGGAGGGUGUCCCAGUGGCAGCCAAGUUUCUACCCUUAACCCACCUCCUUUACACAUGCCAGCCCCCUGUCCUUAGCAUCCAAGGUUGCCUAAGGGAUUCCUUCAGUGGAACCAACAUGAUGACAGUUACUCUGUGUUUCCUAGAUUACGAUGAGGACCUGGUGCAGGAAGCUUCAUCUGAAGAUGUCCUGGGCGUUCAUAUGGUGGACAAAGACACAGAGAGAGACAUUGAGAUGAAACGGCAACUACGGCGACUACGGGAGCUCCACCUAUACAGCACAUGGAAGAAGUACCAAGAGGCGAUGAAGACAUCCUUGGGAGUUCCACAAUGUGAGCGUGACGAAGGCUCCUUGGGCAAGCCAUUGUGUCCACCCGAGAUACUCUCGGAGACGUUGCCAGGCUCUGUGAAGAAAAGGGUAUGCUUUCCAUCAGAAGAUCAUCUAGAGGAGUUUAUAGCAGAACAUCUCCCUGAAGCAUCCAAUCAGAGUCUCCUCACUGUUGCCCAUGCAGACACAGGCAUCCAAACCAACGGUGACCUGGAAGACCUGGAGGAGCAUGGGCCAGGGCAGACAGUCUCUGAGGAAGCCACAGAAGUUCACAUGAUGGAGGGGGACCCAGACACACUGGCCGAACUUCUGAUCAGGGAUGUACUUCAGGAGCUGUCCAGUUACAACGGCGAGGAGGAGGACCCAGAGGAGGUGAAGACAUCCUUGGGAGUUCCACAACGUGGUGACCUGGAAGACCUGGAGGAGCAUGUGCCAGGGCAGACAGUCUCUGAGGAAGCCACAGGGGUUCACAUGAUGCAGGUGGACCCAGCCACGCCGGCAAAGAGUGACCUGGAAGACCUGGAGGAGCAUGUGCCAGGGCAGACAGUCUCUGAGGAAGCCACAGGGGUUCACAUGAUGCAGGUGGACCCAGCCACACUGGCAAAGCAAUUGGAAGACUCCACCAUUACAGGCAGCCACCAGCAGAUGUCAGCAAGUCCUUCCUCUGCACCUGCAGAAGAAGCAACAGAAAAGACCAAAGUGGAAGAGGAAGUGAAAACCAGAAAGCCCAAGAAGAAAACCAGGAAGCCCAGCAAGAAAAGCCGGUGGAAUGUCCUGAAAUGUUGGGACAUUUUUAAUAUAUUUUAGAGACCUCUGAAGAUUCCUCGACCACCAGGAAGGGCCCCGACGUGGGGAUGUCAACAUGGCUCAGACUUGAUGUGGAUCGUGAUCAUUUCGGGAAAUGUGUUACUCCAAAAACUUUUAUAAUCUUUGCUUAAUUUGUUUUUAAAUACUUUCCUGGCUGGGCGUGGUGGCUUAUGCCUGUAAUCCCAGCACUUUGGGAGGCCGAGGCGGGUGGAUCACCUGAGGUCAGGAGUUAAAGACCAGCCUGGCCAACAAGGUGAAACCCCGUCUCUACUAAAAAUACAAAAAUUAGCUAGGCGUGGUGGCGCACUCUUGUAGUCCCAGCUAUUUGGGAGGCUGAGGCAGGAGAAUCACUUGACCUCAGGAGGCGGAGGUUGCAGUGAGCCGAGAUCAUGCCACUGCACCCCAGCACCUGGCUACAGAGUGAGACUUUGUCUCAAAAAAAAAAAAAAAAGAACAAAAAAAUUCUGACUUUAACCUCUGUUUUUCAGAGGGCACAAAUUGUUCUUGUAUUGUUUCCAUUUUACAUUUUUUUCUUGAAGUUAUUUUCCAAUUGUUUUCAUUCUUUCUGAAGUUUUGUUUACUCGGUUUUAAGUUUUUGUAAUUUUGAUAGACUUUUGUGCUUUCAUUUUCUUAAUGACUUUUACCUCAUUUUUAAAACAAAUCCAUAGUAUGGAUGAUAUUGAUGAUGAAAUGUCUUACGAUGAUCAUUUAGAGGUUUAUUUUGAACAACUGGCAAUUCCAGGAAUGAUGGAAUAAAGCAUACGAAGUAGAAGGACUGGAACCUCCAGAAAAAGUACUUUAAGUUACCUACAGGUGAUCCUAGUCAGGCAAAUGAAAACAGUAGCCUAAAGUGUCAGUUUCAACCAGAAAAUAACAGCUCUGAUUUCUCAUGGCUCAUACUCGUCUGAAACGACUCAGGUAGAGGCUGAGGAAGGCCGUGUUGUUUGUCUACCUGGGACUACACCUACUGAAAGAAGUUCUCAAGUUCUGAUUGAGUUCUAAAAUUUUUUGAAGAUUGGAAUUCUUCAUAUGUAAAAAGAGAAGAGAAAGACAUUCUUGAUUUUGGUGACUAGAGUUGUAGAUGCUGGAAGCUUUGCCACUAACAUUGAUGAACCAGAUGCAUGUCACCAGCCCAUCACGGGCACCAUGGGCCCGGCACUGCCACGUUUUCCAAGGAACCUGCCGGAGCUCCUGCGGAAGCUGCUCCUCAGGCGAUGGAGUCCCUUCGCUGGUAGGCCCUUCUUCAGUCACCACAGGAUGCCUGCCAUUCAUGAACAAGAAGGAGAGGACGGGCUUUGAAUAAAAAACAGGAUCCAGGAAAUAUUUGUGAGGCCAUUUGGACUUCAGUGUGAAAUGGUGUUAAAAGAUGAAGUCAUUUAUUCAAGAAGUAAACCUCUGCCACCUGGACUGUGCGCAGACAUUUCAUUGAUUUUGUUUAAUAAACAUUUUCUGGCUUUGGGAGGUGUCUCUCUUGGUAGAACACAGUGUCAAAGAUGGACAAGAUGGACACAUAGUCCAUUAUUUGGUAUUGUUUGUGUAUGGGAGCAGACCACAAAUUAAUGUUUGGAGAACAAUUUUGUCAUAACACACUGUUGAGGCUCAGUUGUACAGAACUGGAAAAGUCUUCAGCUUGGCACAUGUCCUGAUUCAGCCUUUGUUUAACAUAUAUUCCAAUCCGGAUUCUAUCUUCACUGGCUACAAAGACCACCUGAUACGUGCACCACGACACAGGAGCUGCUGGAGAGGGGGUAGUGUUAUCACCUCAAACCCACAGCCAUAUUUUUCAAAAGCCAGCUUAGAGAGAGGUGUACUGAUAGCUGCAUAGAGAACAUGCAGUCCAUCCAUUCUUCCCAGUGAUGUACAUUUCUCAAUCAGUAACCACGUGGUAUACCAGCCUUGAGUGUCACAUCUCCCAACCAUACCAAAUGGAUCACCUAACUGGAGGUGGGGGGGGCCCUCAGAAAUGAGAUUUCGUAUUUACUGUAAAAUUGCCUUAUUUUUUCUUUUGAGGUGGAGUCUCACUCUGUUGCCUGGGCUGGAGUGCAAUGGUGUGAUCACUGCUCACUGCAACCUCCGCCUCCUGGGUUCAAGCAGUUCUCCUGCCUCAGCCUCCCAAGUAGCUGCAAUUACAGGUGCAUGCCACCACUCCCAGCAAAUUUUUAUAUUUUUAGUGGAGACAGGGUUUCACCAUGUUGACCAGGCUGGUCUCAAACUCCUGACCUCAGGUGAUCUGCCCACCUUGGCCUCCCAAAGUUCUGGGAUUAAAGGUACGAGCCACCGCAACUGGCUGAGAAUCUUUUUAUUUGCUGAUUUGUCUCUUGUGUAUUUUCUUUGUUCAGAUGUCUCUUCAGAUCUUUUUCUCACUUUUAAAUUGUUUUUUAAUUGUUAAGAAUUUUCUGUCUAGUUUAGAUAUAAGCCCUUUAUCAGACAUGUGUUUUGCAAAUAUUUUCUCCUAGUCUGUGGCUUGUAUUCUGUCUCUUAACACUCAUUUUAUUUUUACUUUUGGAACUAAAGAAGAAGAAUGGUCAGCUUUCCAUUAUUCUUGUAACAGUAAUGGCAGAACCAAGUCUGCUAAUGCUACACUGAGCAAAGAAAGUCACCUGGUGAAGUCCAACAUUAAUGAAAUGGGGUAGUACAUGCAGGCAGCGUUGGGGGUGGGGAGGGAACAAAUGCUUCUUGAGAGUAAUAUAAUCUGCCAUACCAUCCAGGAACCUACAAUGGCUAUCUAUUACCUUAUUCUCUGGUUUGUUUAAUGUUCGAAUCUUUCCGAAAGAUCCUUCAACCUUUCUGGAAGAAUCUAAUCUGAUAACACCAUCAAAAACACAUUACUUCUUUUGGCAUAAUUUAAAUUGUAAGACAUCAUUCACAUUUAUCAAUGUUACAUAUAUAAGAACUCACCCACCAUAUUCUUCCUUGAGGAAUUACAGCAUGUAAUUCUAUAAUCAUUUUUAUAAUCGUCUAACAAUUUUAUAAUGGAUUGGUUGCUUACUAUCAAUUUUUUAAAAGUCAUGGCUUCUCCAGUCAUUUCUUGCUUAUCGAAAUUAUUUCAUGAGAUGGGUCUCUCCUUGUAUAUUUGAAAAUGAGGUUUGCUUCCUUCUACUUAAAAAACAACUUGAACAUACCUGUUUGGAUCACAUGGUCUUGUCCUGAUAACUUGGAAGAGGUUGCUUCAGCAUUGUUCUUAUUGUUGUGGUGGUUAUUAUUAAUAUUGUUUCAUAUUCUGUUUAAAAAAUUAAAAUUUUACACAAGACCAAUGUCUUCUUUUCAAUUCCAGUACAUUUUUCAGAAGUAACUAAUGCUAUUGGCUUUGUGCAUUGUAAUUUCAGACCAUUUUAUAUGUCUUUAGUUAUAUGUACAGUAUACACACAUAUGUGUCAUAUUAUUCCAUUUUUUCUAGCAUUAAACAUUGCUAUGGAAAACUCUCGGAAAAAUAUUUAUUUGAACAGAACUUUUUCUUUUCUCAGAUGUACCCUCCUUAGGAAUCUUUCUUUGAUCCUUGAAGUUUGGUAACAACUUUAAAUAUGUGUAUCCCAGCUGGGAGCAGCGGCUCACACCUGUAAUUUCAGCACUUUGGGAGGCCGAGGAGGGUGGAUCACCUGAGGUCAGGAGUUUGCCUGGCCAACAUGGUGAAACCCCGUCUUUACUGAAAAUACAAAAAGUUAGCCAGGUGUGGUGGCUGGCACCUGUAAUCCCAGCUACAUGGGAGGCUGAGGCAGGAGAAUCGCUUGAACCUAUAGAGACAAGGUUUCACCAUGUUGACCAGGCUGGUCUCGAACUCCUGACCUCAGGUGAUCCACCCACCUCAGCCUCCCAAAAUGCUGGGAUUACAGGCAUGAGCCAUUGCACCCAGCCAUACAGGAGCAAGUUUAAAAAUUAAAUAUUUAUUUGAAUAACAAGCUUACAUUGGAGCUGCAAUGUUGGCAAUCCAGAUUUUGAACACGGAUCACAAAAAGCAUGCAUAAAAUCCUACUGGCCCAGAGAACAAAACACUGCUCAGAAUUAAGCGAAAUAGCUGCUACUGUUAAGAAAACAGGCCUGAAAUCAAUAUACAAGAUUUUAAAAAAUGUAUUGGCCGGAUGCAGUGGCUCAUUCCUGUAAUUCCAGAACUUUGGGAGGCCAAGACAGGAGAAUCACCUGAGGUCAGGAGUUCAAGACCAGCCUGGCCAACAUGGUGAAACUCCAUCUCUACUAAAAAUAAAAAAUUAGCUGGGUGUGGUGACACAUGCCUGUAGUCCCAGCUACCUGGGAGGCUGAGGCAGAAUAAUUUCUCGAACCCAGGAGGAGGAGGUUUGCAAUGGCAUGAUCUCUGCUCACCGCAACCUCCGCCUCCCGGGUUCAAGCAAUUCUCCUACUUCAGCCUCCCGAGUAGCUGGGAUUACAGGCAUGUGCCACCAUGCCUGGCUACUUUUCUGUAUUUUUAGUAGAGACAGAGUUUCUCCAUGUUGGUCAGGCUGGUCUUGAACUCACAACCUCCGGUGAUCUGCCUGCCUCGGCCUCCCAUAGUGCUGGGAUUACAGGCAUGAGCCACCAUGCCUGCCCAUGAAAGCACUUUUAAAAAGAGAGCACCUCUGCUGCCUGGUCAUAUUCUGUACCUGUUCCCAAACCCUGAAACCAGUGAUGUCAAUGGCUGCGUGGGCAUUGAACGUGUACAUGAUUCCUGCAGCUUUCCUGUUGACCUGGACCAUGUUCAUCAAUGCUUUUUGGUACAUUAAUUCUACAUCUUCUUCGGUGACCACAGUUUAUGUUUAUUUCAUUUUUCAGGAAUAUCCAGCCACUGGUGCACAGCCAUUGCCACUUGUGCCCCCAGGGGAUCUUGUCAACUCCAGUAUGUCCCCCCAGCACUGUGUUAUCUGGCAUAAUAAAUGUAGUUGGGCUGUAGUUGUAGUGACUCCUCCCAAAACAACCCAGGAGUUUAAUACUGUUUGGCCACCGGUUACAGACAUUGCUGCCCCUUCCGCUGCGGCUUUAAAAGCCUAUCUAAUCGGCUGGGUGUGAUGGUGGCUCAGACCUAUAAUCCCAGCACUUUGGGAGUCCAAGGUGGGUGGAUCACCUGAGGUCAGGAGUUUGAGACCGGCCUGGCCAACAUGGUGAAACCCCAUCUCUACUAAAAAUACAGCAAAUUAGCUGGGCGUGGUGGCGCAUGACUGUAAUCCCAGCUACUCGGGAGGCUGAGGUAGGAGAAUUGCUUGGGUGGCAGAGUAAGACUCCGUCCCAAAAAAAAAAGUUAUCUAAUCAGGGACGUCACCUUUCCCUGCCAGUCAUUUUGUUACCAAUGAAAGAAAACAUAUUCAAAUCAAUUUUUAGUUCAGAAAAUGUUUCUUUCAUUGUAUCUUUGAAUUUUAUUGUUCUGCAUUUUUUACUUCAAAAACACCUACUAUAUGCAUUUUUUCUCUCGUUUCCUUUUUUUUCCAAGAAAUGUUUUUGUCCUUUUGAUUUUUUCACUGACCAUUACCAUUAUUUAUAUACCAUGUACCUGGAGAGUUUCCAAUGUUUCUCUUUGGUCUGAGAUACUUGCUAUGAUUUUCACUUUUUAAAUGCUCUUUUGAGAUUUGUUUUGUGGCCUAAAAUGUGGUCUAUCCUGGAGAAUGUUCUGUGAGCUGAUGAGAAGAAUGCACGUUCUGCAGUUGGUGGGUGAAAUGUUCUGUAAUUACCUGUGAGGUCCCUUUGACUUCUCUUGGAGUCAGUCUGGUCUGUUACUUUUCUGCCUAGAGGGUGUGUCUGUUGCUGAAAGUGGGUGUUGGAGUCCCCAGCUAUUAUUGUCUGUCUCUGUCUGUUGCUCGAAUAACUCUUACUUUAAUAACUGGGGCUCCUGUGUCAGGUGUGUUUACAUUGACAACUGUCCUACCUUCUUGCUGAAUUGAUCUCUUUAUCGUUUUAUAAUGACCUUUAUUUUCUAUUUUUGUGCUUUUUUGACUUAAAGCCUACUUUGUGUGACAAGCAUAGCUAUACAUACUCACUUUUGGUAACACUUUUCAUUUCUUAUCAUCUUCAUUGAAUCUCACUUCUUCACAUUUACCAAAAUGUCUACUUUUGAGCUGUGGCACCUCUUUGAAUCUUCAGAUCCACCACAUGCUGAUCAAGCCUUCCUUUUUGUCUGUACUCUGAGGAAUCCCAAACAGGCAUUUUUGCAAGAAAGUCUAGGAGGGAAACAUAAAUCUAUGUGUCAAAAAAAUGAACAUAGAAAAUAAUGUGUCCUGGUUAACAAAAGUUCUCAUUGUAAAGUGUUAGGCACAAGACUAUGGAAUUUCAUGUGCCAUAAAUAAAAUUGUCUUGAUUUGUCUAAAACUACAUUUUGUCUAAAACUACUUUUAAAAAUUACAUGUUACUCUAAUA